GAUAUGACAAGGCAGGAUGCAGCUAAAGCAGCUCCAAAUUGAGUUCGCUGGAGGACUGUCAUCGAUGGCCUAUGUUCCUCAUAGAACGACAGGCCGAAGUAAGUACAUGAAAAGAGUGCUCUUUCAACACUGCAUGGCAAUAUAAACAGUAUAUGCCUCAAAUUUUGAAGAAUCCUCAAUUCAAAUCCAGACUGCGGCAGCCCUACCAUGUAGCUGUUGGACUUGUAUGGGAUAACAAUAAUCAAAAGUCACGAUAUCCAUGCAUGGAUUUUAUCUCAUCUUGAUUAAAUGCAGAGAAAUCAUAUACAGUCUAUUUUGUGACAGAAACUGAA